CCUACGGGUGGCUGCAGUCGAGAAUCAUUCACAAUGGGGGAAACCCUGAUGGUGCGACGCCGCGUGGGGGAAUGAAGGUCUUCGGAUUGUAAACCCCUGUCAUGUGGGAGCAAAUUAAAAAGAUAGUACCACAAGAGGAAGAGACGGCUAACUCUGUGCCAGCAGCCGCGGGAAUACAGAGGUCUCAAGCGUUGUUCGGAAUCACUGGUCGUAAAGCGUGCGUAGGCUGUUUCGUAAGUCGUGUGUGAAAGGCGCGGGCUCAACCCGCGGACGGCACAUGAUACUGCGAGACUAGAGAAAUGGAGGGGGAACCGGAAUUCUCGGUGUAGCAGUGAAAUGCGUAGAUAUCGAGAGGAACACUCGUGGCGAAGGCGGGUUCCUGGACAUUAACUGACGUUGAGGCACGAAAGCGUGGGGAGCAAACAGGAUUAGAUACCCCUGUAGUC
rnacentral:rRNA from 1 species